rnacentral:rRNA from 1 species
CAGCAGCCGCCGCGGUAAUACGGAGGGGGCUAGCGUUGUUCGGAAUUACUGGGCGUAAAGCGUACGUAGGCGGCUUUGUAAGUUAGAGGUGAAAGCCUGGUGCUCAACACCAGAACUGCCUUUAAGACUGCAUCGCUUGAACGUCGGAGAGGUGAGUGGAAUUCCGAGUGUAGAGGUGAAAUUCGUAGAUAUUCGGAAGAACACCAGUGGCGAAGGCGGCUCACUGGACGACUGUUGACGCUGAGGUACGAAAGCGUGGGGAGCAAACAGGAUUAGAUACCCCCGUAGUCCCUGUCUCUUAUAC